CACCGGUGGCGAAGGCGGCCUUCUGGACUGUAACUGACACUGAGGCACGAAAGCGUGGGUAGCAAACAGGAUUAGAUACCCUGGUAGUCCACGCCGUAAACGAUGAGCACUAGGUGUCGGGCUCGCAAGAGUUCGGUGCCGACGCUAACGCAUUAAGUGCUCCGCCUGGGGAGUACGCACGCAAGUGU
rnacentral:rRNA from 1 species